AAUUGCAUGAGCCGGUGCCCACCAGAGCGCAGACGUCGCUGCCAUCUCUUCCCAUGAUGAGCCAGCGACUGAUGCCGACGGUGUGGCUGAGAAUAUACGGCCUUGAACUUGAUCUGGAUAAUACCAGCGAAAGGAUCAUGCACCCUAACACA
rnacentral:ncRNA from 1 species